rnacentral:rRNA from 1 species
UACGUAGGGUGCAAGCGUUAAUCGGAAUUACUGGGCGUAAAGCGUGCGCAGGCGGAUAUGUAAGUUAGAAGUGAAAUCCCCGGGCUCAACCUGGGAACUGCUUUUAAGACUGCGUAUCUAGAGUUUGUCAGAGGGGGGUGGAAUUCCAAGUGUAGCAGUGAAAUGCGUAGAGAUUUGGAGGAACACCGAUGGCGAAGGCAGCCCCCUGGGAUAAAACUGACGCUCAUGCACGAAAGCGUGGGUAGCAAACAGG